rnacentral:rRNA from 1 species
ACCUGCCUUACAGACUGGGAUAACUCCGGGAAACCGGAGCUAAUACCGGAUGAUCAAAUGGACCGCAUGGUCCGAUUGUAAAAGUUGGGAUUUAUCCUAACACUGUGAGAUGGGCCCGCGGCGCAUUAGCUAGUUGGUGAGGUAACGGCUCACCAAGGCGACGAUGCGUAGCCGACCUGAGAGGGUGAUCGGCCACACUGGAACUGAGACACGGUCCAGACUCCUACGGGAGGCAGCAGUAGGGAAUCAUCCGCAAUGGGCGAAAGCCUGACGGUGCAACGCCGCGUGAACGAUGAAGGUCUUCGGAUUGUAAAGUUCUGUUGUUAGGGAAGAACAAGUGCCGUUCGAAUAGGUCGGCACCUUGACGGUACCUAACCAGAAAGCCCCGGCUAACUACGUGCCAGCAGCCGCGGUAAUACGUAGGGGGCAAGCGUUGUCCGGAAUUAUUGGGCGUAAAGCGCGCGCAGGCGGUCUCUUAAGUCUGAUGUGAAAGCCCACGGCUCAACCGUGGAGGGUCAUUGGAAACUGGGGGACUUGAGUGUAGGAGAGGAAAGUGGAAUUCCACGUGUAGCGGUGAAAUGCGUAGAUAUGUGGAGGAAC